AGAGUUUGAUCCUGGCUCAGAACGUACGCUGGCGGCACGCCUAACACAUGCAAGUCGAACGAAGUAGCAAUACUUAGUGGCAGACGGGUGAGUAACAUGUAGGUAUCUGCCCUUUGGCCUGGAAUAACACGAGGAAACUUGUGCUAAUACCGGAUAAGUCUUUACGGAGAAAGCUUUAUGCACCAUUGGAUGAGCCUGCACUUGAUUAGUUUGUUGGUAGGGUAAUGGCCUACCAAGACUAUGAUCAAUAGCUGAUUUGAGAGGAUGAUCAGCCACAUUGGGACUGAGACACGGCCCAAACUCCUACGGGAGGCAGCAGUGGGGAAUCUUGCACAAUGGAGGAAACUCUGAUGCAGCGAUGCCGCGUGAGUGAAGAAGGCCCUUGGGUUGUAAAGCUCUUUCGUCGGGGAAGAAAAUGACUGUACCCGAAUAAGAAGGUCCGGCUAACUUCGUGCCAGCAGCCGCGGUAAUACGAAGGGACCUAGCGUAGUUCGGAAUUACUGGGCUUAAAGAGUUCGUAGGUGGUUGAAAAAGUUGGUGGUGAAAUCCCAGAGCUUAACUCUGGAACUGCCAUCAAAACUUUUCAGCUAGAGUAUGAUAGAGGAAAGCAGAAUUUCUAGUGUAGAGGUGAAAUUCGUAGAUAUUAGAAAGAAUACCAAUUGCGAAGGCAGCUUUCUGGAUCAUUACUGACACUGAGGAACGAAAGCAUGGGUAGCGAAGAGGAUUAGAUACCCUCGUAGUCCAUGCCGUAAACGAUGUGUGUUAGACGUUGGAAAUUUAUUUUCAGUGUCGCAGCGAAAGCGAUAAACACACCGCCUGGGGAGUACGACCGCAAGGUUAAAACUCAAAUGAAUUGACGGGGACCCGCACAAGUAGUGGAGCAUGUGGUUUAAUUCGAAGAUACGCGCAGAACCUUACCAACACUUGACAUGUUCGUCGCGACUCUAAGAGAUUAGAGUUUUCGGUUCGGCCGGACGAAACACAGGUGCUGCAUGGCUGUCGUCAGCUCGUGUCGUGAGAUGUUGGGUUAAGUCCCGCAACGAGCGCAACCCUCACUUUUAGUUGCCAUCAUUAAGUUGGGCACUCUGAAAGAACUGCCAGUGAUAAGCUGGAGGAAGGUGGGGAUGACGUCAAGUCCUCAUGGCCCUUACGUGUUGGGCUACACACGUGCUACAAUGGUAUCUACAACAGGAAGCAAAACGGCAACGUUAAGCAAAUCCCGAAAAGAUACCUCAGUUCGGAUUGCACUCUGCAACUCGAGUGCAUGAAGCUGGAAUUACUAGUAAUCGUGGAUCAGCGUGCCACGGUGAAUGCGUUCCCGGGUCUUGUACACACCGCCCGUCACACCAUGGGAGUUGGUUCUACCUUAAGGCAAGGUUUUAAACCCUUGACCACGGUAUAGUCAGCGACUGGGGUGAAGUCGUAACAAGGUAACC
rnacentral:rRNA from 1 species